AGGUCCUAGUUUCAUAUGUAAGAAAGGGGAGUGUAAGCUAUGCGGUAGUUCCAGAAAAACAGACACGGUUUGCAUUGUGGCAACUGAUAAGGGCGGGAAAAUACAUAUAAAGCUGACCUUGAAUGACAAGUCGUUGGUAGAAGGGGAUAUAACAGGACUUGGAACUCGGUCCAUUUGUUCUCGUAAGAAUCCCAUACCUAGCGUAGAGGAAAUAUGUAUUAUCCCGAAAGAUGUGGACAUCGCAAAACUGCACUCUUGCCUC